GACGAACGCUGGCGGCAGGCCUAACACAUGCAAGUCGAGCGAGGACUUCGGUCCUAGCGGCGGUCGGGUGAGUAACGAGUGGGAACGUGCACUUUACUUAGGAAUCGCCCUGGGAAAGUGGGAGUCAUACAGGAUGAGCCAAUUGGGGGAAAGAUGUCUGGGCGCAGGAUCGGCCCGGGUUAGUUUCGGUGGUUGGUGGGGUAAUAGCCUAGCAAUACGACGGUCCUUAGCUGGUUGGGGAGGAUGAUCAGGCGGGCUUGAACUGAGACACGGCCCAGCCUCCGACGGGAGGCAGCAGUGGGGAGUCUUAGACAAUGGGGGAAACCCUGAUCUAGCCAUGCCGCGUGAGCCAGGAAGGCCUUAGUGUUGUAAAUCUCUUUCAGCUGGGAAGAGAAUGACGGUACCGGCAGAAGAAGCCCCGGCUAACUCCGUG
rnacentral:rRNA from 1 species